CAUCUAGGGAGGGAUAAUACUAAGCUGGUCAAGGAGCUCAGCUUUAUAGAGGAGGCUCUUCAGAAGGCCCAGGAGUCGAUUCUCCAUUGGGACAAAGAAUUAUGGCAGGCUGAAAGACAGAUUGAGGCCCUCGAAUAACAGAAAUCUAGGGACGACAGGAAGGUUGAAGACCCUGAAGGGAGGAUUAAAAUCCUUGAGAGAUAGAGGUCUGAGCUGAGAGAGACUGUCAUCGAACCCGCG
rnacentral:lncRNA from 1 species